UGAAUUAAAGGCCUCAAAUUUCUGGAAUUCUAGUCUACCUUCUAGUUUGCUAGAAUAAAGUUUAUCCCAAUUGAUCCAAUGUAUCUUCCUUUCGCCACUCCUACUCCCCCAGUAAAAUUUUCUUAUCAUGGCAUCUAAGUGUUGGCAAAGUCCUUUGGGUAUUUAAAAGCAUCCCAUAAUGUAAGUAGGGAUUGAUUGUGCAAUUGCUUUUAUCAGUGUCUCCUUUCCUACUCUUGAGAGAUAUUUCUCCUUCCAUCCCUUGAGCUUCUUCCAAACUCUCUCCUGGAUAAAGUCAAAAACUUCCUUCUUGGAUCUUCCCACGAAAGUAGGCAAGCCCAAGUACUUCGAAUGUUGUUCCACCGCCUUUAUCCCUAACCAGUCUUGGAUAAGAUUUUGUCUGAUAGUAGGCACAUUUCGACUGAAGAAAAUUUUUGACUUAUCCAAAUUGAUUCUUUGGCCUGAAGCUGUCUAGUAUUGGAUGAGAACUUCCUUAAUACCCUGUAUGUCUUGAUCUGAUACUCUGGAGAACAAGAUGCUAUCAUCCGCAAAAAAUAGGUGGUUUAUCUAGGGAGCUUGUUGGGCAACUCUAAUACCUCUGAUAAUCUCACUAUUUUGGACCUUGAUUAGGAGUCCUGAGAGUAAUUCUGCACACAAAAUAAACAGCUAGGGAGAUAGUGAAUCUCCCUGCCUCAAACCCCGUGUUGGUAGAAACAGCUUACUUGGGAUUCCAUUAACCAGAAUUGAAAAAGUCACCGUCGAGACACAUCUUUGAUUAAAUUCACCCAUCUUUAUAAGAAACCCAUUGAUAUCAUGACCUCUUUCAAGAAGCACCACUCUAUUCUAUCAUAUGCCAUGGCCAUAUCUAAUUUGAUUCCGAUGUACCCUUUUUGGUCUGUCACCUUCUUCUUCAUGUAAUGAAAAAUUUCGAACGCUACCAAUCCAUUGUCAGUGAUUAUCCUACCAUGCACAAAGGCACUUUGAAACUUUCCAACAAUAUCCGGAAGGAUUUGUUUGAGUCUAUUUGCAAUAGUUUUGGUAACUAAUUUAAAAACAACAUUACAUAAAGAGAUGGGCCUAAAGUCUUUGGCAUAUCUAGGAUUUUUUAUUUUUGGAAUCAUACAAAUAUGUGUCGAAUUAAUAGGGGAGUGAUCAGCUUCAUGAUUUAGAAUAUUAAGCACAUAAUUAGUAAUAUCAUUACCGACAAUUCUCCACAUUUUUUGGUAAAAGAGCGCCGGCAUAUCAUCAGGUCCUGGUGCUUUGGUUGGGUGCAUCUGUUUGAGGGCUUGGGUUACUUCUUCAACAGUGAAAGGCUGAUCUAGGAAUUCUCUUUUCUCUGCAUCAACCCUAUUCUUCACUAUAUUAGCCGUUUGUCUUGCUUCUUUCACACCCUCUGACCUGAAAAUGUUAUCAAAAUACUCCACCAUCACCUCUUCAAUUUUCUCCUCCUCCUCAUGUGUUACUCCGGCUUCAUCCUUGAUGGCUUUCACCCAAUUCCUAUUCUUUCUUUGUUAAGCUUUUUGGUGAAAGAAUCUAGAGUUUUGGUCUCCAUGCCUAAGCCAAUUGGUUCGGGAUCUUUGAGCCCACCAAGUUUCUUUCUCCUUAAGUGCUUCGUCCAAAUUCGCUUUCACCUCUUUGAUUUGCAAGAUGACUCCUUCUUCCUGUUUUAUGGUGUUUAGGUGUUGGAGUUUGUUUUGUAGCUUUCUUAUCUUCGUUGGUAUGUCUCCAAAGAGCUUAUCCCUCCAUCUAUCUAACUCCUUCCUGCAGCAAGCUAUUCUUCCUUGUAUGGGUCCUUGCUCCCCUUUCCACACUUCUUCCACGAGUUUUUCACACUCUUCGUUGCUUAGCCAACAUUAUUCAAAUCUGAACCUGUGAAGAAUCUUCCUUCUUCGCCUUUUCUCACCCAUCAUAUCAAUUAAAAUAGGACUAUGGUCUGAUUUGUAUCUGCUGAGGUGUUGGACAAUUGUUUUCAAAAAGGUUUGUUUCUAUUCUAUAGUUGCCAAAGCCCUAUCUAACCUUUCUUGGAUAUUAUCUUCUCCUGAUUGGCCAUUUGUCCAUGUAAAUGAAUGGCCUACAAAGCCAAGAUCAAGCAAUUUAUUAAUUUGGACAGCAUCUCUGAAUCUCUGAACCUGCGAAUAAGUAAUCGGGUUCCCCCUUGCUUCUCCUCUUGUCCCAUGAUUUGGUUGAAAUCUCCGAACACUAUCCAUGCCAAAUUAGAGUCUCUCCCUAGCGACUUUAAGAGAUCCCAGCUAAUGUGUUUAUUUUCAUUCUCCGGCUUCCCAUAAAAUUCCGUUGCUCUCCACCUUUGCUCAUUUUCUACCACUUCCACCUCCAUAUCUAUGUGAUUGGUAGAUAAAGACCUGACUUCUACCUUGAUGGUGCUGUCCCAUAAAAUUGCUAGGCCUCCAGCUCUUUGUUUACCAUCACCCUCACAGUCCGCAGCCAUUAUAUUAGCCAUCCCUCCUUUAUACCUCAUUCUCAUCAUUUCUAUUUUUUUUCUCCUUGUCUCCAUAAGGAAAACAAGGUUGGGUCCUUGUUGUUUAAUGAGCUUUAUCAAAGCUCGGACUGCCCAUGGGUUCCCAAGCCCACGACAGUUCCAACUAAUCAUCUUCAUGGCCUUCGGCAGGGCUACUGAGCAGCCUCUGCCGUUAGAAGUAUGGGUUCUGCGUUGAUUUUUAUCAUCUUCACCUCAAUACUAUUAAUCUCCAUCUCCUCAGACUCUAGUGCCUUCCUCUUUUGUCCUUCAAAAUCUGCAUUUUCUUUUUCAUUUUUUGUUGUUGCUGCCAUUUGUCUUGCUUGCCUCUUCCAAGUUUUGUUUCCUUAUUUUAUUGUCUUCUUUGCUGUCUUUGUGCUGGUGACCUCUUCCAAGAGUGUUGGAAUAAACUCUCUUUCUUGCUCCUUAAUCUCUUUCUUUUUUGUUUCUUUCCUCUUUGCUUCUUCUUCUAUGUUCUCUGUGCUCUCUUUUUGUUCUGCUUUUUCUAGUACGGAUUCAGUGGCCAUCGUCCGUGGUGUGUUGCUGUUUUGUUUCACUAGUGUUAAAGGAAUUUCUUCUGUUCCUUCUUGUUCUAUUCUUGCUCUCUGUUCUGGAUUGUAUUGUAAUCGUUCUGCCUCCUUUCCCUUACUGUUAGAUGACUCUGGUAUAUCUAUCAUUGUUAAUCUCUCUAACUUUUCUAGCAUUCUUGCGGUAAGCCUUUGCUGGGAUAUUGUGUUUUUUUUUCCUUUCUUUCUUCCGAGUCUCUGUUUUGUUGAUUUUUCACUACUUUCACUAUGCUUCCUAUCAAAUCGGCUUUCAACCAGGACCCAGCUCUUUAGAUUUGUUCUCUCCCUUUUCCUUGUCAUCUAUUGCUUGUUGAAAAUUACUUUUCUCAUGCCCUAUCAGCCCGCAGUAGUAACAGAAGUUUGGCAGCUUUUCGUAUUUAAAAUCUGUCCAGAUCAACCCAUCUUCAUUGCUGCCAAUAUUCGUCCCUUUUAGGAUGGGUUUGUUUAUGUUAAGAGUUACUAUGGCUUUUAUGAAGCGCACUUGGUCUCUUGUGUUUUCAAAAACAUCACACUCUUUAACAACACCCAACGCAGAGGCUAUCUUCCUCUUCAGCACUCUAUUUAAGUCUGUCUCUUUUUUAAAAAAAAAUUAGUAGAUUUUUGUCUUUAACUCUACUAUUCUCAGACUUUCUGGUUUCUUCCAGAUAUUCUGCAUUCCAGAUUGUAUCCAUGCGCUGUUGAUUCUUUUUUUGGUCAGUAAUCUUUCUAUUAAGCUAUUUUUGCACUCUUGUAAGCCUUUUUUCACGUCUUCAUUGUUGAACACUACCAAGAAUUCUUCAUCCUCUUGGUCUUGGGUUGUGUUUUGUGUAUCUGGUAUGGUGUUUGUGUUUGACAUAUUGGCUGUGUUUGUUGGAACAGAAUCUCACCGAUUUUUGCUGCACAAUUACAGAAAAGCACGAUGUGUACGGAUGUUUUGUGCUACACCCCUUCAAACCCUAGGAGAGCAUUGAGUUAGGAGGAGAGAGGAUAGUCUCUUCUAUUCGCUAUCUUAAUAUUCAGCAAAUGAUUGCAAUAAAUUAGUCCUAUGGUAGAAAACCUGUGUUCACGGUAAAUUAUGCAAUUAUAUAUGUAUCCAGGGUAUGAGCCCAUAGUGGAAACAUGAGUUAGGUGCAUGGGCUUUCUCUCUUUUUGUCUUGGGUGCAUGGGCUUUCUUUAGAGAACGAAUACUAAUAAAUGGGCUCUCUUCAGAGGAAAAACAAGUCUACGAUUCAAAUCCUGCCACAGGGUUAAUUCGAGAAUAAAAUUUAGUGUCACUCAGGUCAUCGUUGACUUUUGUUUGAUUAUGAGAGAUGCAAAUACGGUAGCAGAUACUAUGGCAAAGAUGGCGAUGAAGUUAUAAUUUUCACAUGUGGAGCUUCUUUCACCUUGGGAAGAGUUUAAAAGUAGUCUUAAAUGGGACUGUCCCUCUAUCUAAGCAGUUCCUUGUUUUGUUUGUUUUAUUUUUUUUUGUUUAAUUUAUUUCAGUCAC